GACGAACGCUGGCGGCGUGCUUAACACAUGCAAGUCGAGCGGUAAGGCCUCUUCGGGGGUACACGAGCGGCGAACGGGUGAGUAACACGUGGGUGACCUGCCCCCUACUCUGGGAUAAGCCUGGGAAACUGGGUCUAAUACCGGAUAUGACCUCCUGCUGCAUGGUGGGUGGUGGAAAGUUUUUUCGGUGGGGGAUGGGCCCGCGGCCUAUCAGCUUGUUGGUGGGGUGAUGGCCUACCAAGGCGACGACGGGUAGCCGGCCUGAGAGGGCGACCGG
rnacentral:rRNA from 1 species